CCUACGGGAGGCAGCAGUAGGGAAUUUUCCGCAAUGGGCGAAAGCCUGACGGAGCAAUACCGCGUGAGGGAUGACGGCCUGUGGGUUGUAAACCUCUUUUCUCAAGGAAGAAGUUCUGACGGUACUUGAGGAAUAAGCAUCGGCUAACUCUGUGCCAGCAGCCGCGGUAAUACAGAGGAUGCAAGCGUUAUCCGGAAUCACUGGGCAUAAAGCGUCUGUAGGUUGUUUAGUAAGUCUGCUGUUAAAGACUGGGGCUUAACCCCAGAAAAGCAGUGGAAACUGCUAGACUCGAGUGUGGUAGAGGUAGAGGGAAUUCCUAGUGUAGCGGUGAAAUGCGUAGAUAUUAGGAAGAACACCAACGGCGAAGGCACUCUACUGGGCCAUAACUGACACUGAGAGACGACAGCUAGGGGAGCAAACGGGAUUAGAUACCCCGGUAGUCCUAGCCGUAAACGAUGGAUACUAGAUGUUGCACGUAUUAACCCGUGCAGUAUCGUAGCUAAGGCGUUAAGUAUCCCGCCUGGAAGUCGCUCGCAAGNGUGAAACUUAANGUAAUGUAGNGNGAGAGUUGCGAGNGCGACGAGGGAGAG
rnacentral:rRNA from 1 species